UGGGGAAUAUUGGACAAUGGGGGCAACCCUGAUCCAGCAAUGCCGCGUGUGUGAAGAAGGUCUUCGGAUUGUAAAGCACUUUCGACGGGGACGAUGAUGACGGUACCCGUAGAAGAAGCCCCGGCUAACUUCGUGCCAGCAGCCGCGGUAAUACGAAGGGGGCUAGCGUUGCUCGGAAUGACUGGGCGUAAAGGGCGUGUAGGCGGUUUACACAGUCAGAUGUGAAAUCCCCGGGCUUAACCUGGGAGCUGCAUUUGAUACGUGUAGACUAGAGUGUGAGAGAGGGUUGUGGAAUUCCCAGUGUAGAGGUGAAAUUCGUAGAUAUUGGGAAGAACACCGGUGGCGAAGGCGGCAACCUGGCUCAUGACUGACGCUGAGGCGCGAAAGCGUGGGGAGCAAACAGGAUUAGGAUACCCUGGUAGUCCACGCCUGUAAA
rnacentral:rRNA from 1 species